rnacentral:rRNA from 1 species
CCUACGGGGGGCUGCAGUAAGGAAUAUUGGUCAAUGGACGCAAGUCUGAACCAGCCAUGCCGCGUGAAGGAUGACGGCCCUCUGGGUUGUAAACUUCUUUUAUCUGGGACGAAAAAAGGGCUUUCUAGCUCACUUGACGGUACCAGAGGAAUAAGCACCGGCUAACUCCGUGCCAGCAGCCGCGGUAAUACGGAGGGUGCAAGCGUUAUCCGGAUUUACUGGGUUUAAAGGGUGCGUAGGUGGGCAGGUAAGUCAGCGGUGAAAUCUCCGAGCUUAACUCGGAAACUGCCAUUGAUACUAUCUGUCUUGAAUAUCCUGGAGGUGAGCGGAAUAUGUCAUGUAGCGGUGAAAUGCUUAGAUAUGACAUAGAACACCAAUUGCGAAGGCAGCUCACUACGGGGUUAUUGACACUGAGGCACGAAAGCGUGGGGAUCAAACAGGCUUAGAUACCCGUGUAGUC